CCAAAGAGGGGGACCUUCGGGCCUCUUGCCAUCGGAUGUGCCCAGAUGGGAUUAGCUAGUAGGUGGGGUAACGGCUCACCUAGGCGACGAUCCCUAGCUGGUCUGAGAGGAUGGCCAGCCACACUGGAACUGAGACACGGUCCAGACUCCUACGGGAGGCAGCAGUGGGGAAUAUUGCACAAUGGGCGCAAGCCUGAUGCAGCCAUCCCCGCGUGUAUGAAGAAGGCCUUCGGGUUGUAAAGUACUUUCAGCGGGGAGGAAGGGAGUAAAGUUAAUACCUUUGCUCAUUGACGUUACCCGCAGAAGAAGCACCGGCUAACUCCGUGCCAGCAGCCGCGGUAAUACGGGGGGUGCAAGCGUUAAUCGGAAUUUCUGGGCGUAAAGCGCACGCAGGCGGUUUGUUAAGUCAGAUGUGAAAUCCCCGGGCUCAACCUGGGAACUGCAUCUGAUACUGGCAAGCUUGAGUCUCGUAGAGGGGGGUAGAAUUCCAGGUGUAGCGGUGAAAUGCGUAGAGAUCUGGAGGAAUACCGGUGGCGAAGGCGGCCCCCUGGACGAAGACUGACGCUCAGGUGCGAAAGCGUGGGGAGCAAACAGGAUUAGAUACCCUGGUAGUUCACGCCGUAAACGAUGUCGGCUUGGAGGUUGUGCCCUUGAGGCGUGGCUUCCGGAGCUAACGCGUUAAGUCGCCCGCCUGGGGAGUACGGCCGCAAGGUUAAAACUCAAAUGAAUUGACGGGGGCCCGCACAAGCGGUGGAGCAUGUGGUUUAAUUCGAUGCAACGCGAAGAACCUUACCUGGUCCUGACAUCCACAGAACUUUCCAGAGAUGGGUUUGGUGCCUUCGGGAACUGUGAGACAGGUGCUGCAUGGCUGUCGUCAGCUCGUGUUGUGAAAUGUUGGGUUAAGUCCCGCAACGAGCGCAACCCUUAUCCUUUGUUGCCAGCGGUCCGGCCGGGAACUCAAAGGAGACUGCCAGUGAUACACUGGAGGAAGGUGGGGAUGACGUCAAGUCUUCAUGGCCCUUACGACCAGGGCUACACACGUGCUACAAUGGCGCAUACAAAGAGAAGCGACCUCGCGAGAGCAAGCGGACCUCAUAAAGUGCGUCGUAGUCCGGAUUGGAGUCUGCAACUCGACUCCAUGAAGUCGGAAUCGC
rnacentral:rRNA from 1 species